UGGAGGCGACUUCAGGUCUUAAUUAAAAGACCAAGCGUGUGUGUGUGUGUGUGUGUGUGUGUGUGUGACUCAGCAGUUUGCAGUAUUACCUUCUAAGCUCAGUUUCAUACCCUGUGAGCCUCAGCUCAGUCCAACAUGUGCAUUAACACACCUCCUGUCUUCCGCGCGUGUGUGUGUGUGUGUGUGUGUGUGUGUGUGUGUGUUUGUGUGUGUGUGCAUGUGUGCUAUCCCCUCUCCAUCUCAUCUCCCAGCAGCCACAGAUGCUUUGGCUCUCACUGGAAGGACUGAGUGUCAGUUUCAGUGUUUGCUUUGCUUCUGCUGGACACUUUCGGCUGAAAUCAGAGAGGAGAGCAGACGUCCGGCCACAUUCACGAUCUGUGAGCAUAAUCUUAACCACAUCCAGCCUGUCGGCACGCACAUACUUCACCUGCGUUAGACAACCCCAAUGUUUCAUCUUCAUCCGUCUUUCCAUUCUUCUGACAAAUUUCCAAACUGAUUUAGCACCCAAACAUCACGGUAGGACAUUUCUCCACUGCCAGCGCACAGCAAGUGCAGCAGAAAGGUUGAGACAGGUAACUGUGAGGUGCAGAGACUGAAGAGUCACCGUUUGUUUUCAUGUGUAGAUCUUUCACAGGGAAUUUUCAUUUCCAGUGAAGAAAUGAUUUGCCUUUUGGAUUUUCAGUGGAUCAGUCUCGGCACAAGAACACUAGUUUCUAGAAGUUUGCAACAUGUUGUCACUGAUGAUGAUUAACUUUGAUCAACUUUUAAUUAACGAUCAGUCUCCCUCUUACUUCUCUGAACAGUAUGGAUUUCCUGUCACCUAUUUUUGGUUGCACAUGAAGGCUUUACUUGUAAUUCUAAUAAUACAACACUGGUCAUUUAUGGGAAAAAAAUGUAGACAUGGACACUUGAAGGCAUCUUCUCUUUACAGUGUGGUGGAAUAUUGAUGCCUCUGUGUGGUGAGACAUGGAACUACACGCCCACAGUGAAAAAACUAUCAAACAAUGAUUACAUCAUGAAUUUUUGUGAUAACUUUGAUACAAAAAACCACAUCCCAAGAUAAGUGUUUGAAAAGUAAUCAUUUGCACAACUGCACCCAAUUACUCCAAUAGAAAUCCCAAUCAGAAUCUCUUAUCAAGUGUACAGAGUACAUGGGCCACUAAUGUAUGUUUGCUGCUCUACUGUCACUUAGAGUCACUUCAUAGUCUCACUAUCAGUUUGCUUCCUCCCUCAGAUAUCUUGUUUUGGGACUGACACAGACAAAAAAAGAUAUGGUAUAUACCAUAUAUUAGUCUGUGCAUACAGACAACUAGCACUGGAUUAUUUUGAUACUGAUGUUAAUCUAAAAACUUUAGGAGUUAAUAGAAUAUAUUGAAGGAGAUUCGUAGAAACUGAAUCUAUUCUUUUGGCUGCGCUGCCGGACAUUGAAUUUGAAAUGAAACGGUGACCGGGGGUUGAGGGCUCAUACUGUCCAGCCUUUCUUUCUUUAGCAAAGAUGAAACAUGUUUUAUUUUAAGUCUAAUGUGCUGUAGCCAACCAAACAAACUUCAUCUACAGUGGCAGAGCAGGUAGAAAUGUGACAGCUGCUGUGUUCCUGUGCCGUCAGCAGGUGGUGCUGCUGUCAAACCCCACCCCAGGAUUAGGACUAAAACAGGGGGGGGGGGGGGGGCUCCAGGAAACUGAGCAGAUGCCGAAU